CCCUUAGAUGUUCUGGGCCGCACGCGCGCUACAAUGGCAGACUCAGCGAGUUACCUCUGUCGAAAGGCACAGGGAAUCUUUACAGUAUCUGCCGUGAUGGGGAUAGACCCUUGUAAUUUUUGGUCUUCAACGAGGAAUUCCUAGUAAACGCAAGUCAUUAACUUGCAUUGAUUACGUCCCUGCCCUUUGUACACACCGCCCGUCGCACCUACCGAUUGAAUGGUCCGGUGAAGUCCUCGGACCCAGUUGAACCUCGAGUUGAACAGGGAAAGUUGACUAAAUCUUACCAUUUAGAGGAAGGUGGAGUCGUAACA
rnacentral:rRNA from 1 species